rnacentral:rRNA from 1 species
UACGGAGGAUGCAAGCGUUAUCCGGAUUUAUUGGGUUUAAAGGGUGCGUAGGCGGGUUAUCAAGUCAGCGGUGAAAUUUUUCGGCUUAACCGUAAAAUUGCCGUUGAAACUGGUGAUCUUGAGUGCGAGCGAGGUAGGCGGAAUGUGCCGUGUAGCGGUGAAAUGCAUAGAUAUGGCACAGAACUCCGAUUGCGAAGGCAGCUUACUAGUACGCUACUGACGCUGAUGCACGAAGGCGUGGGGAUCAAACAGGAUUAGAUACC